GAUGAACGCUGGCGGCGUGCCUAAUACAUGCAAGUCGAGCGAACGGACGAGAAGCUUGCUUCUCUGAUGUUAGCGGCGGACGGGUGAGUAACACGUGGAUAACCUACCUAUAAGACUGGGAUAACUUCGGGAAACCGGAGCUAAUACCGGAUAAUAUUUUGAACCGCAUGGUUCAAAAGUGAAAGACGGUCUUGCUGUCACUUAUAGAUGGAUCCGCGCUGCAUUAGUUAGUUGGUAAGGUAACGGCUUACCAAGGCAACGAUGCAUAGCCGACCUGAGAGGGUGAUCGGCCACACUGGAACUGAGACACGGUCCAGACUCCUACGGGAGGCAGCAGUAGGGAAUCUUCCGCAAUGGGCGAAAGCCUGACGGAGCAACGCCGCGUGAGUGAUGAAGGUCUUCGGGUCGUAAAACUCUGUUAUUAGGGAAGAACAUAUGUGUAAGUAACUGUGCACAUCUUGACGGUACCUAAUCAGAAAGCCACGGCUAACUACGUG
rnacentral:rRNA from 1 species